GCGGCCGUGACCCUGCUGGAGUGCGGGGGGGACCUCCAGCUCCCCGUGGGGUCCCUGCGCCUCCUCUGCCGAGGGUCCGGGUUCAGAUUCGGCAAUUUUGCCAUGAACUGGGUGCGCCAGAGACACGGGCAGGGGCUGGAAUUCGUGGCGUACAUAAACAUUGGUGGAGCCACUUACUACGCGCCAUCGGUCAAGGGCCGGGUCACGAUCUACCAGGACAACGGGCAGAGCUCGGUGAUGCUGACCAUGAACAACCUCAAGGUCGAGGACUCCGGAUCCUUUUUCUGUGCCAGGGCUGCUGAUGGUUAUGGUGCUGCUGUUAAUGGAUUUCAGCUCUUUCGUGAUUCUCAGCUCUCAGGAUUCAGCCUCUUUGCUCACUCGCUGGGGCGCCUUUGGCUGGGGCAGAACCAGACGGACAGAGAGGAGCAGGAGAGGUCCUGGUGGUUCCACAGCCAUGGUUCAUUGAGGGAUCUGUGA